UACGAAGGGGGCUAGCAUUGCUCGGAAUCACUGGGCGUAAAGGGUGCGUAGGCGGUUUGACAAGUCUGAUGUGAAAUCUAUGGGCUCAACCCAUAGUCUGCAUCGGAAACUGUCGGGCUGGAGUAUGGGAGAGGUGAGUGGAAUUUCCGGUGUAGCGGUGAAAUGCGUAGAUAUCGGAAGGAACACCUGUGGCGAAAAGCGGCUCACUGGACCAUUACUGACGCUGAUGCACGAAAGCUAGGGGGAGCAAACAGG
rnacentral:rRNA from 1 species